rnacentral:rRNA from 1 species
CCUACGGGUGGCAGCAGUGAGGAAUAUUGGUCAAUGGACGCAAGUCUGAACCAGCCAUGCCGCGUGCAGGAUGACGGCUCUAUGAGUUGUAAACUGCUUUUGUACGAGGGUAAAGCGCGACACGUGUAUCGGGUUGAAUGUAUCUUACGAAUAAGGAUCGGCUAACUCCGUGCCAGCAGCCGCGGUAAUACGGAGGAUCCGAGCGUUAUCCGGAUUUAUUGGGUUUAACGGGUGCGUAGGCGGUUUGGUAAGUUAGGGGUGAAAGGUCGGGGCUCAACCCGGAAACUGCCUUUGAUACUGUUGGACUGGAGAAUAGUAGAGGGAGGCGGAAUGCAUGGUGUAGCGGUGAAAUGCUUAGAGAUCAUACAGAACACCGAUUGCGAAGGCAGCUUACCAGACGAUGACUGACGUUGAGGCACGAAAGCGUGGGUAGCAAACAGGAUUAGAUACCCGAGUAGUC